rnacentral:lncRNA from 1 species
UUUUUUUUUUUCUUUUUUUUUUUGGUCUUUGGUCUUUUCAGGGCCUCACCCAUGGCAUAUGGAGGUUUCCCACUGUAUACAAAUCCUAAAAAAAUAUCUGCACACUCGCUUUCACCCCCAAACCUGUUUCUGUGAUGGGCAAAGAUGACAAGACACAUGUCCUGGAAAAGCUGGGCUUAAUUUCCACGAACAAACUCUGCAUUUCCUCCCUAUUUUUCCCUGCAAACUGAGAAAAUAGUUUUUCCACAUUUAAAAGCAGUCCUGGAGUUCCUGUCGUGGCGCAGUGGUUAAUGAGUACGACUAGGAACCAUGAGGUUUCGGGUUCAAUCCCUUGGCUUUCUCAGUGGGUUAAGGACCCGGCUUUGCCAAGAGUUGUGGUGUAGGUUAAAGUCAAGGCUUGGAUCCCAUGUUGCUGUGGCUGUGGUGUAGGCCGGCAGCUACAGCUCCGAUUCGAUCCCAAGCCUGGGAACUUCCAUAUGCCGUGGGCGUGGCCCUAAAAAGCCAUAAAUAAAUAAAUAAAUGAAAGCAGUCCGUUUUUUCCACUCCUUGGAACAGGCAGAGGUCCGAUGACUUUUCCUAUAAAAUGUGGGCUCUCAAGGGAAUCACAGAGGAAGCUGGAUGACAGUCACAGAAACCUGUAGAAGUGAUUGGUUUCUGCCAGUUGGCUGAGGGAUACAUAUUUCAAAUCAUUUUUGGAAAUUUCCAGUCUGAGGACUAAUACAUCACUGCUAAUUUCAUGGGCACAGGGAAGUAGCGUCUAGUAAAGGAAGCACAUACAUUAGUUAUUAAUUACGCUAUUUGUGUGUCUUUAAAAUGUCACAGAGCGUGCAUCUUCAAUGCUUCCAAUCUAGCUAGUCACAAACUAACACUUUGACCUCACACCCCAGCUGCUAAGAUAUUUUGGAAAAGAGAGCACCAGCCCAAGCCCUGAAUCCCUCCCCACCUUUCAGAACCUCCCCAAGGCGCCUGAAAAUUCAAAUAUGUUGGGAAAGACUUGAUUCACAAAGACCUGCCUUGUGCUUUAUACUUUAUAACCUGGUUGGCACAUAAAAAGAAAUUCUAUGGAGAACAAAUUUUUGUGCAAAGUCCUUCUCCAUGUUUAGCAAGCAUUCUACUAGCUUCCUGGAGUGUGCAAGGAAACUGGGAGUAAAUUAUAUAGCCCCCCCCUUUUUUUUUUGGUCUUUUUAGGGCCGCACCCUCGGCUUAUGGAGGGUCCCAGGCUAGGUGUCUAAUCGGAGCUGUACCUGGCGGCCUACGCCACAGCCACAGCCACGCCAGAUCCGAGCCUUGUCUGGGACCUACAGCCCAGCUCACGGCAACGCCUGAUCCUUAACCCACUAAGCAAGGCCAGGGAUCGAACCCGCAGAUUCGUUUCCGCUGGGCCACAAUGGGAACUCCUUAUGCAGUACUUUCUAACACUUGCAGGUAUAAAAACACCACUUCCUCCCUAGGUUUAUGUUUGGUCUUAUACUUAAAUGUUCCUAAGUGAAGAAAGGCACUGGUCUACAGUACUGGACAUUAGAUGUGAAAAAGAAAAAAAAAAAUUAUAUAGGAGGAAAAUCAUAAGCAGUUCCCAAAGACAUGCCAAAGAAAAGAUCUUAGGAAGACAGACCUAAAUAAGGAACUCAAUUUCUCAUGUUUGUUUCUAUGCUUGCCUAAGUACGAAAGAUGGUUACCCUUGAAGGAGGGGGGCACAAGAGAAGAGUUUGAGAUGCUGAUAAGGUUUGUUCUUGACCGAGGUACUGGUUUCGUGGUGAGUUCAGUUUGCAAAAUUUUAUUGAGCUGUGGACCUACGGUUUACGCUUUCUUUCUGUACAUAUGUUAUGGUUGAAUAAAAAGUAAAAAAUGAAGGAGUUUGAUUCCUGGGGAGCUUUAAAAGAAAUUCAG